UACGGAGGGUGCAAGCGUUAUCCGGAUUCACUGGGUUUAAAGGGAGCGUAGGUGGGUUGGUAAGUCAGUGGUGAAAUCCCCGAGCUUAACUUGGGAACUGCCAUUGAUACUAUCUGUCUUGAAUACCGUGGAGGUGAGCGGAAUAUGUCAUGUAGCGGUGAAAUGCUUAGAUAUGACAUAGAACACCAAUUGCGAAGGCAGCUCACUACGCGAAUAUUGACACUGAGGCACGAAAGCGUGGGGAUCAAACAGG
rnacentral:rRNA from 1 species